GAGCACAUUUCUGAUGUGCUAAAUAAACUUGGAGGUAUAUUAGCAGCAUGACUACUUUAGCCACUGCUGUCAGUCACCUUCAGACAAAG
rnacentral:snoRNA from 14 species